GAUAUAAUAUAAAUUUCCUUCAAUAUCCUACCUUCCUAAAUUAUUUUCAUCUAUAAAAGUGAUUCACCCCUUCGUGCAAAGUAUGUUUAUUUUUCUUGUCAAUCAUUAAUAUUAAAUUUAAUUAUUUCGCUCCCCCUAUAGAGAGAGAUACUCCUGCGGCAUGACCAUGAUGAUCAUUUAUAAUCAUAGCGUUAAGUAGGUAUUAUGGAACAAAGU